GGUCUCAUCGUCUAGUGGCCUAGGACACCUGGUUCUCAUCCAGGAGAUCGCGGGUUCGACUCCCGCUGAGACCG
rnacentral:tRNA from 1 species